rnacentral:rRNA from 1 species
GAUCAUGGCUCAGAUUGAACGCUGGCGGCAGGCCUAACACAUGCAAGUCGAGCGGUAGAGAGAAGCUUGCUUCUCUUGAGAGCGGCGGACGGGUGAGUAAUGCCUAGGAAUCUGCCUGGUAGUGGGGAUAACGUUCGGAAACGGGCGCUAAUACCGCAUACGUCCUACGGGAGAAAGCAGGGGACCUUCGGGCCUUGCGCUAUCAGAUGAGCCUAGGUCGGAUUAGCUAGUUGGUGAGGUAAUGGCUCACCAAGGCGACGAUCCGUAACUGGUCUGAGAGGAUGAUCAGUCACACUGGAACUGAGACACGGUCCAGACUCCUACGGGAGGCAGCAGUGGGGAAUAUUGGACAAUGGGCGAAAGCCUGAUCCAGCCAUGCCGCGUGUGUGAAGAAGGUCUUCGGAUUGUAAAGCACUUUAAGUUGGGAGGAAGGGCAAUUACCUAAUACGUGAUUGUUUUGACGUUACCGACAGAAUAAGCACCGGCUAACUCUGUG